rnacentral:rRNA from 1 species
GAUGAACGCUGGCGGCGUGCCUAAUACAUGCAAGUCGAGCGAACGGACGAGAAGCUUGCUUCUCUGAUGUUAGCGGCGGACGGGUGAGUAACACGUGGAUAACCUACCUAUAAGACUGGGAUAACUUCGGGAAACCGGAGCUAAUACCGGAUAAUAUUUUGAACCGCAUGGUUCAAAAGUGAAAGACGGUCUUGCUGUCACUUAUAGAUGGAUCCGCGCUGCAUUAGCUAGUUGGUAAGGUAACGGCUUACCAAGGCAACGAUGCAUAGCCGACCUGAGAGGGUGAUCGGCCACACUGGAGCUGAGACACGGUCCAGACUCCUACGGGAGGCAGCAGUAGGGAAUCUUCCGCAAUGGGCGAAAGCCUGACGGAGCAACGCCGCGUGAGUGAUGAAGGUCUUCGGAUCGUAAAACUCUGUUAUUAGGGAAGAACAUAUGUGUAAGUAACUGUGCACAUCCUGACGGUACCUAAUCAGAAAGCCACGGCUAACUACGUG